rnacentral:rRNA from 1 species
GACGAACGCUGGCGGCGUGCUUAACACAUGCAAGUCGAGCGGAGCGGCGAACGGGUGAAUAACGCGUGAGUAACUGCCCCCCUCCCUGGGAUAACAGUUGGAAACGGCUGCUAAUACCGGAUAGUGGGGGUGGGCUCGGGUCCUAUCAGCUUGUUGGUGGGGUAGUGGACUACCAAGGCGACGACGGGUAGCCGGCCUGAGAGGGCGACCGGCCACAUUGGGCUAGGAGAGGACCCAAACGCCUACAGGAGACAGCAGGGGGGAAUAUUGCAAAAGGGGGGAAACCCUGAUGCAGCAACGCGAGUGCGGGAGGGCGGCUUUCGGGGUGGAAACCGCUUUAAGCCAUGACGCGGUAGUGGCAGAAGAAGCACCGGCUAACUACGGGCCAGCAGCCGCGGUAAUUC